GAUGAACGCUAGCGGCAGGCUUGAUACAUGCAAGUCGAGGGGCAGCAUGACUGUAGCAAUACAGUUGAUGGCGACCGGCAAACGGGUGCGGAACACGUACAGAACCUUCCUUCGAGCGGGGAAUAGCCCAGAGAAAUUUGGAUUAAUACCCCAUAGUACAACGGAGUGGCAUCACUUUGUUGUUAAAGAUUUAUCACUUGAAGAUGGCUGUGCGGCUGAUUAGGUAGUUGGCGGGGUAACGGCCCACCAAGCCUGCGAUCAGUAACUGGUGUGAGAGCACGACCAGUCACACGGGCACUGAGACACGGGCCCGACUCCUACGGGAGGCAGCAGUAAGGAAUAUUGGUCAAUGGACGAAAGUCUGAACCAGCCAUGCCGCGUGGAGGAUGAAGGUCCUCUGGAUUGUAAACUUCUUUUAUAUGGGACGAAAAAAGGGUUUUCUAACUCGUCUGACGGUACCAUAUGAAUAAGCACCGGCUAACUCCGUGCCAGCCGCCGCAGUAAGAC
rnacentral:rRNA from 1 species